rnacentral:rRNA from 1 species
AGUGACGGUACCUGCAGAAAAAGCACCGGCUAACUACGUGCCAGCAGCCGCGGUAAUACGUAGGGUGCAAGCGUUGUCCGGAAUUAUUGGGCGUAAAGAGCUCGUAGGCGGUUUGUCGCGUCUGCUGUGAAAUCCCGAGGCUCAACCUCGGGCUUGCAGUGGGUACGGGCAGACUAGAGUGCGGUAGGGGAGAUUGGAAUUCCUGGUGUAGCGGUGGAAUGCGCAGAUAUCAGGAGGAACACCGAUGGCGAAGGCAGAUCUCUGGGCCGUAACUGACGCUGAGGAGCGAAAGCAUGGGGAGCGAACAGGAUUAGAUACCCUGGUAGUCCAUGCCGUAAACGUUGGGCGCUAGAUGUAGGGACCUUU